rnacentral:rRNA from 1 species
AUUGAACGCUGGCGGAAUGCUUUACACAUGCAGGUCGAGCGGCAGCGCGGGGGCAACCCUGGCGGCGAGCGGCGAACGGGUGAGUAAUAUAUCGGAACGUACCCCGUCGUGGGGGAUAACACAGCGAAAGCUGUGCUAAUACCGCAUACGACCUGAGGGUGAAAGCGGGGGAUCGCAAGACCUCGCGCGAUGGGAGCGGCCGAUAUCGGAUUAGCUUGUUGGUGAGGUAAAGGCUCACCAAGGCGACGAUCCGUAGCUGGUCUGAGAGGACGACCAGCCACACUGGAACUGAGACACGGUCCAGACUCCUACGGGAGGCAGCAGUGGGGAAUUUUGGACAAUGGGGGCAACCCUGAUCCAGCCAUUCCGCGUGAGUGAAGAAGGCCUUCGGUUGUAAAGCUCUUUCUAGCAGGAACGAAACGGUAGGCCGACCUAAUAACUGGCUACUAAUGACGGUAACCUGAAGAAGAAGCACCGGCUAACUACGUGCCAGCAGCCGCGUAAAACGG